GAUGAACGCUGGCGGCGUGCCUAAUACAUGCCAGUCGAGCGAACAGACGAGGAGCUUGCUCCUCUGACGUUAGCGGCGGACGGGUGAGUAACACGUGGAUAACCUACCUAUAAGACUGGGAUAACUUCGGGAAACCGGAGCUAAUACCGGAUAAUAUAUUGAACCGCAUGGUUCAAUAGUGAAAGACGGUUUUGCUGUCACUUAUAGAUGGAUCUGCGCCGCAUUAGCUAGUUGGUAAGGUAACGGCUUACCAAGGCAACGAUGCGUAGCCGACCUGAGAGGGUGAUCGGCCACACUGGAACUGAGACACGGUCCAGACUCCUACGGGAGGCAGCAGUAGGGAAUCUUCCGCAAUGGGCGAAAGCCUGACGGAGCAACGCCGCGUGAGUGAUGAAGGUCUUCGGAUCGUAAAACUCUGUUAUUAGGGAAGAACAAAUGUGUAAGUAACUAUGCACGUCUUGACGGUACCUAAUCAGAAAGCCACGGCUAACUACGUG
rnacentral:rRNA from 1 species